UACGUAGGGUGCAAGCGUUGUCCGGAAUUAUUGGGCGUAAAGAGCUUGUAGGCGGUUUGUCGCGUCUGCUGUGAAAUUUCGGGGCUCAACCCCGAACUUGCAGUGGGUACGGGCAGACUAGAGUGUGGUAGGGGAGACUGGAAUUCCUGGUGUAGCGGUGAAAUGCGCAGAUAUUGGGAAGAACACCGGUGGCGAAGGCGGCGCUCUGGACCGAGACUGACGCUGAGGCGCGAAGGCGUGGGGAGCAAACAGGG
rnacentral:rRNA from 1 species